GCGGGAGUGGCUCAGUGGUAGAGCACUUCCUUGCCAAGGAAGAUGUCGCGGGUUCGAAUCCCGUCUCCCGCUCCA
rnacentral:tRNA from 8 species